GAAAGUAAUAAAGGGCGUAUGGGGGAUGCCUAGGCUCUUGGAGGCGAAGAAAGACGUGGUAAGCUGCGAUAAGCCUCGGGGAUUUGCAAACGAGAAUUGAUCCGAGGAUUUCUGAAUGGGACAACCCGGCAGGCAGAAGGCCUGUCACACGAAAGUGGGCCAACCCUCUGAACUGAAACAUCUUAGUAGGAGGAGGAAAAGAAAGAAACAUCGAUUUCCUAAGUAGCGGCGAGCGAACGGGAAACAGCCUAAACCACAAUUGUUACGGCAACUGUGGGGUUGUAGGACUGCAAUAUUCAAAUGACUGUGAACUGGAAUGUUCUGGAAAGUUCAUCCAUAGAGAGUGAAAGACUCGUACAGGCAAGCACGUCAGGCGAUAGCAGUAUCCUGAGUAGGGCGGGACACGAGGAAUCCUGUCUGAAUCCGCCGGGACCACCCGGUAAGGCUAAAUACUCCCAAGAGACCGAUAGUGAACCAGUACCGUGAGGGAAAGGUGAAAAGAACCCCGAACAGGGGAGUGAAAUAGAACCUGAAACCAUACGCUUACAACCUGUCGGAGCGGCUUCGUGCCGUGACGGCGUGCCUAUUGAAUAAUGAGCCUACGAGUUACUAAUCACUGGCAAGGUUAAGUGCACGGAUGCACGGAGCCGAAGCGAAAGCGAGUCUGAAUAGGGCGUUUAGUCAGUGGUUGUAGACGCGAAACCUUGCGAUCUACCCUUGAGCAGGUUGAAGGUUGGGUAAAACCAACUGGAGGACCGAACGAAUAAGCGUUGAAAAGCUUCUCGAUGACUUGAGGGUAGGGGUGAAAGGCUAAUCAAGCUGGGAAAUAGCUCGUACUCCCCGAAAUGCCUUUAGGGGCAGCGUUGUAAUUAAGAGUCUACUGGAGGUAGAGCUACUGAUUGGAUGCGGGGGCUUCACCGCCUACCAAAUCCUGACAAACUCCGAAUGCCAGUAGUAUGAUUUACAGCAGUGAGCGACCGGGUGCUAAUGUCCGGUUACGAGAGUGGAACAACACAGACCAGCAACUAAGGUCCCCAAGAGUAUACUAAGUUGAUCUAACGAUGUUUUGCUGCAGAGACAGCUAGGAUGUUAGCUUGGAAGCAGCUAUUCAUUCAAAGAGUGCGUAACAGCUCACUAGUCGAGCGGCAAAGCGUGGAUAAUAAACGGGCAUCAAGUAUACCACCGAAGUUCUGGGCACGAAAGUGCGGUAGGGGAGCAUUCCAUUCCGCGUUGAAGCCGAACCGUGAGGUUUGGUGGAGUGUAUGGAAAAGCAAAUGUAGGCAUGAGUAACGAUAAUGCGGGAGAGUAACCCGCACACCGCAAGACCAAGGUUUCCUGAUCAACGCUAAUCGGAUCAGGGUUAGUCGGGUCCUAAGGGUAAGCCGAACGGUGAUCUCGAUGGAUAAUCGGUUAAUAUUCCGAUACUGACAUAUACCUCGAUGGAGAGACGAAGGAACGUAAGUGCCGCCACCUGACGGAAUAGGUGGUUAAAGGGCUUAGGUAUAGGGGCAGAUUAAGAGUUAGUCCUUGCUGAAACCUGACAGUACAGAGAGCCUACGGGCAAUUUGAUAGUGCACCCAAGUCGACUUCCGAGAAAAUCUUCUAAGUUAUAGUAUAUGUCACCCGUACCGUAAACCGACACAGGUGGUCGAGGAGAGUAUCCUAAGGUGCUCGAGUGAAUCACGGUUAAGGAACUAGGCAAAUUAACCCCGUAACUUCGGGAAAAGGGGUCCCAUCGCGAGGUGGGCGCAGCGAAGAGGUCCAGGCGACUGUUUAUCAAAAACACAGGGCUCUGCAAAUUCGAAAGAAGACGUAUAGGGCCUGACACCUGCCCGGUGCUGGAAGGUUAAGAGGGGAUGUCAUCGCAAGAGAAGCAUUGAAUCGAAGCCCCAGUAAACGGCGGCCGUAACUAUAACGGUCCUAAGGUAGCGAAAUUCCUUGUCGGGUAAGUUCCGACCUGCACGAAUGGUGUAACGAUCUGGACACUGUCUCAACCGUGAGCUCGGUGAAAUUGUAGUCCCGGUGAUGAUGCCGGGUACCCGCAACGGGACGAAAAGACCCCGUGAACCUUUACUAU
rnacentral:rRNA from 1 species